AACGAACGCUGGCGGCAGGCCUAACACAUGCAAGUCGAGCGAAGCCUUCGGGCUUAGCGGCGGACGGGUGAGUAACGCGUGGGAACGUGCCCUUUGGUACGGAAUAGCCCCGGGAAACUGGGAGUAAUACCGUAUGUGGUCGAGAGACGAAAGAUUUAUCGCCAAAGGAUCGGCCCGCGUUGGAUUAGGUAGUUGGUGUGGUAAUGGCCUACCAAGCCGACGAUCCAUAGCUGGUUUGAGAGGAUGAUCAGCCACACUGGGACUGAGACACGGCCCAGACUCCUACGGGAGGCAGCAGUGGGGAAUCUUAGACAAUGGGGGAAACCCUGAUCUAGCCAUGCCGCGUGAUCGAUGAAGGCCUUAGGGUUGUAAAGUUCUUUCAGUGGGGAAGAUAAUGACUGUACCCACAGAAGAAGCCCCGGCUAACUCCGUGCCAGCCGCCGCAGUAACAC
rnacentral:rRNA from 1 species